rnacentral:rRNA from 1 species
CGAAAGUUAGAGGUUCGAAGGCGAUCAGAUACCGCCCUAGUUCUAACCAUAAACGAUGCCAACCAGCGAUCCGCCUGAGUUCCUCAAAUGACUCGGCGGGCAGCUUCCGGGAAACCAAAGUGUUUGGGUUCCGGGGGAAGUAUGGUUGCAAAGCUGAAACUUAAAGGAAUUGACGGAAGGGCACCACCAGGAGUGGAGCCUGCGGCUUAAUUUGACUCAACACGGGAAAACUUACCCGGCCCGGACACUGGAAGGAUUGACAGAUUAAGAGCUCUUUCUUGAUUCAGUGGGUGGUGGUGCAUGGCCGUUCUUAGUUGGUGGAGCGAUUUGUCUGGUUAAUUCCGAUAACGAACGAGACUCUAGCCUACUAAAUAGGCGUUCCGAUCCUUUGCGUCGGACGUUCUUCUUAGAGGGACAAGCGGCUUUUAGCCGCACGAGACAGAGCAAUAACAGGUCUGUGAUGCCCUUAGAUGUCCGGGGCCGCACGCGCGCUACACUGAAGGAAUCAGCGUGUGCUUUCCCUGUCUGGUAGGACUGGGUAACCCGUUAAACCUCCUUCGUGAUAGGGAUAGGGGCUUGUAAUUGUUCCCCUUGAACGAGGAAUUCCCAGUAAGCACGAGUCAUAAGCUCGUGUUGAUUACGUCCCUGCCCUUUGUACACACCGCCCGUCGCUACUACCGAUUGAAUGAUUUAGUGAGGUCUUCGGACUGGCGCUCGUAGCGACCAUUGGCCGCGCCGACGUGCCGGAAAGAUGACCAAACUUGAUCAUUUAGAGGAAGUAAAAGU